AAACAAUUGAAGAUCCAAGUGACUUCAAGAAAAAUGACUAUGCCAAUGGGAAUUCCGCAGAGAUUGCAGCAACGGUACAAGUGAAUUUCUCCAGUCAUGAAGACUAAGAGAUGUCUUUCCAAAGGGCAAUGGAAUUUAUGAAUCAUCAAAUAG
rnacentral:lncRNA from 1 species